CAGUAGCCACGGGAAAACGGAGGGGGCUAGCGUUGUUCGGAAUUACUGGGCGUAAAGCGCACGUAGGCGGCUUGGUAAGUUAGAGGUGAAAGCCUGGAGCUCAACUCCAGAAUUGCCUUUAAGACUGCCGAGCUAGCAGGUGAGAGAGGUAAGUGGAAUUCCGAGUGUAGAGGUGAAAUUCGUAGAUAUUCGGAAGAACACCAGUGGCGAAGGCGGCUUACUGGCUCAUACUGGACGCUGAGGUGCGAAAGCGUUGGGAGCAAACAGGAUUAGAUACCCGCGUAGUCCCUGUCUCUUAUAC
rnacentral:rRNA from 1 species